AUUUUAGAAGGUGGAAGACCUGGAUGCUUCAUAUUUUGUAUAUAGAUGCCUCAUGUUACGAAGUUUCCGUCAGUCACAUGUCCAUUGUCCUUGACCUCAUUUUCAUGGUUCAGUGACCACUUGAAAAAAAAGUUCAGAUUUUUUGCAAUGUUAAAUUCUCUCUUACUGUAAGUAAUAGGAUAACUAUAUUUAGUAUGUGCGUACCUUGCAAGGUCCUCAUGCCCGUCAGACAGUUUUCACUUGACCUCAACCUCAUUUCAUGGAUCAGUGAACAAGGUUAAGUUUUGGUGGUCAAGUCCAUAUCUCAGAUACUAUAAGCAAUAGGUCUAGUAUAUUCAGUGUAUGGAAGGACUGUAAGGUAUACAUGUCCAACUGGCAGGUGUCAUCUGACCUUGACCUCAUUUUCAUGGUUCAGUGGUUAUAGUUAAGUUUUUGUGUUUCGGUCUGUUUUUCUCAUACUUUAUGCAAUAGGUCUACUAUAUUUGUUGUAUGGAAUGAUUGUAAGGUGUACAUGUCUAGCGGGCAGAUGUCAUCUGACCUUGACCUCAUUUUCAUGGUUCAGUGGUCAAAGUUAAGUUUUUGAGUUUUGGUCUUUUUAUCUAAUACUAUAUGUCAUAGGUCAACUAUAUUUUGUGUAUGGAAAUAUUUUAUGAUCUAUAUGUCAGUCGUGCAGGUUUUAUUUGACCUUGACCUGGUUUUCAAGGUUCAUUGCUCAGUGUUAAGUUUUUGUGUUUUGGUCUAUUUUUUCUUAAACUAUAAGCAAUAGGUCAACUAUAUUUGUUGUAUGGAAGCAUUGUUAGCUGUACAUGUCUGCCUGGCAUAUGGUUCAACUGACCUUGACCUCAUUUUCAUGGUUCAUGUUAAGUCUAUGUGACAGUUGUAAUAAAGCUUUAGAUUUAGGAGUAUCAACAUAAUAUCAAUGAUUAGUAAAGAAGGCGAGACAUUUCUGUGUGUGCACUCUUGUUUUUUAAUAGUU
rnacentral:lncRNA from 1 species